rnacentral:rRNA from 1 species
GGAAGGGGUGUAUUUAUUAGAUUAAAAACCAAUGCCCUUCGGGGCUCUCUGGUGAUUCAUGAUAACUUCUCGAAUCGCACGGCCUUGCGCCGGCGAUGGUUCAUUCAAAUUUCUGCCCUAUCAACUUUCGACGGCUGGGUCUUGGCCAGCCGUGGUGACAACGGGUAACGGAGGGUUAGGGCUCGACCCCGGAGAAGGAGCCUGAGAAACGGCUACUACAUCCAAGGAAGGCAGCAGGCGCGCAAAUUACCCAAUCCCGACACGGGGAGGUAGUGACAAUAAAUACUGAUACAGGGCUCUUUCGGGUCUUGUAAUUGGAAUGAGUACAAUUUAAAUCCCUUAACGAGGAACAAUUGGAGGGCAAGUCUGGUGCCAGCAGCC